UAGGGUUAGGGUUAGGGUCAGGAGCCCAUAGGGUUAAGUAACUAACCCUAUCGUAUACAUCAAGUACAUUAACUCACCCUAUAGUAUAUAUCAAGUAUAUGGUCGGGGUUAAAGGUCGGGGGGCGUGACCUGGUCGGGGUCAGAGGUCAGGGGUCGUGACCUGGUCGGGGUUAAAGGUCGGGGGUCCUGACCUGGCCAGAGAGCAGACGUUUCCCAGCGUGUAGAACACAGCGAACAGAGCGAGGCCCACGCCUGGAACCCACAGCAGGCAGCUCCCCUACACACACACACACACACACACACACACACACACACACACACACACACACACACACACACACACACACACACACACACACACACACACACACACACACACACACAC